AACGCUAGCUACAGGCUUAACACAUGCAAGUCGAGGGGCAGCACAGUGUAGCAAUACAUGGGUGGCGACCGGCGCACGGGUGCGUAACGCGUAUCCAACCUUCCCGUUACUCUUGGAUAGCCUUCCGAAAGGGAGAUUAAUACAAGAUGGUAUUCAAAUUCCGCAUGUUAUUUGAAUUAAAGAUUUAUCGGUAACGGAUGGGGAUGCGUGACAUUAGAUAGUAGGCGGGGUAACGGCCCACCUAGUCUACGAUGUCUAGGGGUUCUGAGAGGAAGGUCCCCCACACUGGAACUGAGACACGGUCCAGACUCCUACGGGAGGCAGCAGUGAGGAAUAUUGGUCAAUGGUCGGAAGACUGAACCAGCCAAGUAGCGUGAAGGAUGAAGGUUCUAUGGAUUGUAAACUUCUUUUAUACGGGAAUAAAACCUCCCACGUGUGGGAGCUUGUAUGUACCGUAUGAAUAAGCAUCGGCUAACUCCGUGCCAGCAGCCGCGGUAAUACGGAGGAUGCGAGCGUUAUCCGGAUUUAUUGGGUUUAAAGGGAGCGUAGACGGGAGAUUAAGUCAGUUGUGAAAGGCUGCGGCUCAACCGCAGCACUGCAGUUGAUACUGGUUUCCUUGAGUGCGGUUGAGGUGUAUGGAAUUCGUGGUGUAGCGGUGAAAUGCUUAGAUAUCACGAAGAACUCCGAUUG
rnacentral:rRNA from 2 species